rnacentral:rRNA from 1 species
AUUGAACGCUGGCGGCAGGCCUAACACAUGCAAGUCGAGCGAGCGGCGGACGGGUGUGUAAUGUAUGGGGCUCUGCCCGAUAGAGGGGUAGCACUACUGGAAACCGUGGCUUAUACCGCAUACUCCCGUUUGCACCCAUAUGGGUUGAGCUAGUAGGUGGGGUAAAGGCUCAUCUAGGCGAAUACCUCUAGCUGGUCAGAGAGGAUGAUCAGCCACACUGGGACUGAGACACGUCCCAGACUCGUACGGGAGGCAGCAGUGGGGAAUAUUGCACAAUGGGCGCAAGCCUGAUGCAGCCAUGCCGCGUGUGUGAAGAAGGCCUUAGGGUUGUAAAGUACUUGCAGCGGGGAGGCGUUACCCGCAGAGGAAGCACCGGCUAACUCCGUGCCAGCAGCCGCGGUAAUUC